UGGGGAAUAUUGGGCAAUGGGUGAAACCCUGACCCAGCAACGCCGCGUGAGGGAAGAAGGUUUUCGGAUUGGAAACCGCUGUCCCAUGGGGAGAAGAGAGUGACGGUACCAUGGGAGGAAGCCCCGGCUAACUACGUGCCAGCAGCCGCGGUAAAACGUAGGGGGCGAGCGUUGUCCGGAAUUACUGGGCGUAAAGGGCGCGUAGGCGGCGGAUCAAGUCAGAUGUGAAAGACCUGUGCUUAACAUGGGGAUUGCAACUGAGACUGGUUGGCUAGAGUGCAGGAGAGGGAAGUGGAAUUCCUAGUGUAGCGGUGAAAUGCGUAGAUAUUAGGAGGAACACCAGUGGCGAAGGCGACUUUCUGGACUGCAACUGACGCUGAGGCGCGAAAGCGUGGGGAGCGAACAGG
rnacentral:rRNA from 2 species